GAGGGUCUAGCUCAGUGGUAGAGCACGUGCUUAGCAUGCACAAGGUCCCAGGUUCAAUCCCCAGUACCUCCA
rnacentral:tRNA from 1 species